AGGAGGGUGAUGAAGGGCCCCGGACAGCACGCAGAAUCCGAAGGCAGGAUCCGUCUCAGAGUUGGGAACUCAAGGAACUUUAAGGGAAGCAGGCACUCCCUAAGCGAUCUGACCCAGCUUCCUCCUCUGUGGGUCGAUUCCAUUCUCCUCUCUAGGAGCCCACGCCGCUUACUCAUGCGCAUGCGCACAGGACCCCAGGAUUAGUUAGGAGGCUCAGCCACCCUUUCUUGUCCGUACUGAAGGCUUCUCUGAGGCCAGAGGAAGGGAGAUAAUGCGCUUUUACAUCCAGGAGUGGGUCCCAUUGGUGGCCACAGGACAGGAAGGCCUCUGUUGGGAGGUCAGCUCACUUGUCAGUUAUUUUCAGCUGUGGCAAAAAUUCAUAUGGGUUUUUUGCAAAUGAAGUUUUCAAUUUUGGAUAAGUAGCCAGAUUCCCUGGAUGGCACAUGCUAUGAACGGCUAUGGCUGGGCUGGAGCCCAGAGUCUGUCUGCUUCCUGUGGGUGGAGGGCGGGCCUCCUGCACCCGCGCCUGGCAGGUCAUCUCCCAGUGGCCGCCACACUUGACUGCGGCCCUUCCGUUUAUCUCCACGGCCGCUGCUUGUUCCAGUAAGGCCUGCCUGUAGCCCUCGAGUCGUGACUGGCUCCCGCAAGAUGUUCCGAUGAAACUCCAGAUUAAACUCUUCUGGCCGCCUCCAGGCCUGAAUGAAGGGUGAAUGCCUAUCCUCUCUUGGCUUAUCUUCCUGGAUAAAGAGCUCAGUGGCGGGAAUGUACUCAAGGCCGGCACCAUAGGAUUCUAUGAACUGAAGCUGGCCAGCUCGUCCUCUCUUCCCGCCACAUGGGGGGCUGCCACAAGUGACCCAGGGGGCCUGUGCAGCCCCAGCCCAAUAACAAGGCCACUUGUUUUCAUCAUUGUGGGUUUGGAGGGGGCAGUCAUGGUGGCCUUGUGAGUCGUCACCCCUCUGUGCAAGGCAAGGGUGUCCGGACAGGUCACCUUUCAGGCCACUGGCUUAUGCCAGUGCUGCCAAAGCCAGUGGCCUGAGUAUCUGCUGGGCUGGGCUCACAACACAGCCGCAGUACCUGGCUCCUGGUAGUAAGGUCAGGGUGCUCGGCACAGGGGUGGGCAAGGUCCUAAGGACUGCAGGGUGAAAUGCAGCAACAUGCAUGGGUGCAGAAAGAAAGGGGCCCCCUGGGCUGGGGCAUUUAUAGGAGGCCAGGAGGUACCAACCCUCCAUGCAAGGGAAGGGACAGCAGUGAAUCGUGGGUGCUGACCCUGGAGUGCGAGGCCCAAGAAGGAGAAGGCUGAGGGUUCGGUUUCCCCUCUGCCGCCUCCACCGUGCCCUGCAGGCUAGCUUUCCCCGCUGCAGCCUCAGCUGGAGGAUUAGUGGGGUCUCCAGCUGGUGGUUAUUGUUGCCCCUGGCAAAGGUGUUAGAUUUCUUGGUCCUUGUUCCUGUAGGGGAAGAGGUGUCUGAAUUCAACUGAUGCUUCUGCACCUGUAUACGUAGCAGGAAUUGAUGGCUUAUAUGCUUGCACUUUUCCAGUCCCUUAAGUGUUAGAGGGGAUUUUCCCAUUCAGGGACUGCUGUAUGUAGAGGGUGACAGUGGAACACGGAGAUCACUCCCCAACCCUCUUUCCUUCCACCUCCGAUGGUCCAACAGAAACAAUAAAGACUGUGAAGCAAGAAAGGGAAAUCACAGCUUUUCUUAAAAACGGGAUUGUUGCCUGUGCUCUCAGAGAGGCCCCUCUCCCUGCAACAGCGCCACCUGCUGACACAGCCACAAGGUACCUCUGCCACUGAAGAACUCCAGACCCAGGAUGCUUUGUAGCGCUCCGGCCUGAUACCCCAUUUUGGGAUGAGUCAAGUCGAACCUGACAGUUAACAAGAUGGGAAGAGCCUAAAAGGCCUCGCUAGUCAAAUAGAAAUGGUAUAUUUAAAAGCGCAGUCAGCCUGGCCCUUGAGAGAUUUUACAUGAAAAAGUGGCAGCUACUGCCUUGGGAGAAACCACCUGAAACAAGGUCCUGAAUCUGGGGCCCUCAAGUGUCACAGGUUCCCCUAAAUGCCCGGCCUUAGUUCACUGAUGACUUAGCCAAGGUGAAACCUGAUGGGUGCGUUGGGAGGCCACUGCCAUCCAGCUUCAUGGCCAGAUACGUAAAACCGAAAGUGGAUGUCACCAUGGGCAGAAGUCAAGGCCAUUCUCAUCCUGAGUCUGGCCAGCACUCCCCUUGAUGAACCUUGUUACAUUUUACUGACUUGGGCUGCUAGCCAAUGGCCUGGCUGCUUGGUUCACUUGGAAGAUGACAGAUAUGGAGAAUUAAAGACACACGCUUGGGGCGGUAAACUAUGGAAUCACACCUUGGUCCUACCUGACAGAUGGGUCAUUCAUGUGGAUGCCCAGAGUGGGGACCUGGUCUCUGAUAAGACUCCCUGGCUGUUGAUCAAGGCUGCAGCGCCCAGAAGCUCCCUCCUGUUCCUGGUAAGUUGACUCCAUCGAACCUUGAACACCUGCUGUGGGCUCUCUUGAUGCUGGUGUCCCUGUUCCAGUCCAGUCGGCUGACUCAGGCCACAUCAUUAUAGCCCUUGAAACUGUGUCAUGUUUUAGGCUUUGCAGAUCCUCUACAGUCUGAUAUUGAUGCACCUUCUGUUACAAAAGCCAGUCACCGGGGGCCAAUAGUCAAGGUGUUGGAUGGACAUUCCACACUCCCUACCACCCACAGCAUCUGGGUACCAAGCACUGGAAUGACCUCUUUCAAGUCAGCUCUACUUCCCGCACUUCCUUCUGGUCCACACACUGUAGUAAGGCAGCCUGCUCACUGAAUGUGGCUGUCCCUUCUUGGUUGGCCAUCUCUUGGGUAAUGAUCAGGAUGAAAGGGAUGGGGGGCUUUCUAGACUUAUUUUGAAAAUCAAAGAGUCUGCCCUGACCACUUGUAGGUAUGGCAUUUCUUUUCUUUCCCCUAAUAGCUACCCUAGGCCAGCCUGGCUGGUAGACUGUCUUGAGUACAGCCCAGCCAAAAGGGAGCCUAGAGAAUUCCAGCUUAAUUCUGGCCCAGCCAUCAGGAUUCUCUUGUUGGGUUGAUGUGGUUCUAGAUCAUGUGACUGAGGACACUGCUGUCUCCAGCCCCCCUAUAGUGGCUCACACUUGCUGUGGCAGGCUGGGCAGUGGCCCCCAAGAUCUCUGGGUCCUAAUCCUUGGAACCUGUGAAGGGGAUUUUGAAGAUAUGAUUAAGUUAAGAAUCUUCAGAUGGGGAGAUUAUCCUGGAUUAUCCCAGUGGGCACUAAAUGUAAUCCCAAGUGUGAGGUAGAGACAGAUUUUACAACAGAGGGCAAUACGAUAAUGGGAAUAGAAGGACAAAGAGAGAGAUUUGAAGACACUGCUAAAAUACUGGAUUUGAAGACGAGGAAGAAGCCAUGAACUAAGAAAUGUAAGGAAUGCAGUUCUAGAAGCUGGAAAAGACAUCAAAAGGGAUUCUCCCCUAGAAGGAAUGUGGCCCUGCAGACACUUGGUUUCAGAUCAGUGGAAACUAUUUCAGACCUCUGACCCCCAGAACUGUAAGACAAUAAAUGUGUGAUGUUUUAA